rnacentral:lncRNA from 1 species
CGCAAUAAUAAAUGAAUGCCAUUAUUUCUGAAUUUACAGUAGUAUGUUUUUUUCUUGUAAGAAUUUGGUAAGGAAAAAAUUCCAGCAAUGAUGAACACAUUUGAAGCUUAAUGACCUUGCACUAGAACAGAAGUCUACACAUUGACCUCUUUCUACACAUUCCUUACAAAAUUGGUAUUUGAGUGUGUGUGUUACACACACAAUGAUAAAAAAUGAUAAUAGUGAGUUGUAGAUUCAAUGAUUCCUUGGGAGUAUGUAGAAAUUGAGGUCUGUCUGGAUUCAAUGUUUUGUAGUGCAGGUAUGAUAUGCUUAUGGUUGGUUUCUCUGAGCAUGGGAAAAAGAAAAAUAUUAAAGGGGCAAUCAAAAAAAAUUUAAAAUGGCAAA